AAAACGACUCUCGGCAACGGAUAUCUCGGCUCUCGCAUCAAUGAAGAACGUASCGAAAUGCGAUACUUGGUGUGAAUUGCAAAAUCCCGUGAACCAUCGAGUCUUUGAACGCAAGUUGCGCCCUAAGCCAUUUUGGCCGAGGGCACGUCUGCCUGGGCGUCAAUC
rnacentral:rRNA from 1 species